rnacentral:misc_RNA from 1 species
AACUUUCAGCAAUGGAUCACUUGGUUCUGGCAUCGAUGAAGAACGCAGCGAAAUGCGAUAAGUAAUGUGAAUUGCAGAAUUCAGUGAUUCAUCGAAUCUUUGAACGCACUUUGCGCCCGCCAGUAUUCUUGCGGGCAUGCCUGUUCGAGCGUCAUUUCAACCCUCAAGCCCCAACGGCCUUGUGUUGGGGACCGGUGACCUCGCUGACGCGCUUCUUGGGUCCUGCGUCCGCCGCUCAUCAAAUGAAUUGGCGGUCUCGUCGCGGCCUCCUCUGCCUAGUAGCACAACCUCGCAACAGGAGAGCGACGCGGCCACUGCCGUAAAACGCCCAACUUUUUUAGAGUUGACCUCGGAUCAGGUAGGAAUACCCGCUGAACUUAAGCAUAUCAAUAAGCGGAGGCU